UGCGGAGGGUGCAAGCGUUGCUCGGAAUUAUUGGGCGUAAAGGGUAGGUAGGUGGUCUCAUUUGUCUGGGGUGAAAGCCUUGAGCUUAACUCAAGAAGUGCCCUAGAAACGGUGAGACUGGAGUCCUGGGGAGGGUCGUGGAAUUCCCGGUGUAGCGGUGAAAUGCGUAGAGAUCGGGAGGAACACCAGAGGCGAAGGCGGCGACCUGGACAGGUACUGACACUCAACUACGAAAGCGUGGGGAGCAAACAGG
rnacentral:rRNA from 1 species